rnacentral:rRNA from 1 species
CAGUAGCCGCGGGAAUACGUAGGUCCCGAGCGUUGUCCGGAAUUAUUGGGCGUAAAGGGAGCGCAGGCGGACAUAUAAGUCCAUCUUAAAAGUGCGGGGCUCAACCCCGUGAGGGGAUGGAAACUGUAUGCCUUGAGUGCAGGAGAGGAAAGCGGAAUUCCCAGUGUAGCGGUGAAAUGCGUAGAUAUUGGGAGGAACACCAGUGGCGAAGGCGGCUUUCUGGACUGUAACUGACGCUGAGGCUCGAAAGCCAGGGGAGCGAACGGGAUUAGAUACCCCUGUAGUCCCUGUCUCUUAUACA